UCUGAUUUUCAAACGGCCCUUCCAGGCAGUGGAUGCUUUGAAAGACAGGCUUGCAAGUAGGAAGGAAAUGUGGGUCUGUUUUCUUUCGACUUCAUUUUUAGAACUUGGCGUUUUUUCAAAGCAAUACCAUUAAGAUCCUCUCUGUGCCCGUAUGUUGAUAUCCUCGAUCAAACUCUCCACCUGUCCCAUGCCAACCUCCACUUUGGUGUGAUCAGUUUUUUUAGCUUCCACAAGAGUUAAAUAUAUGAUGCAUUUCUGUG